UUUCUUAGGUAAAAGCAGAAUACAAAAAUAAACUAUGGAAUUAAAAGUGCAAAAACAACAUGGAAAAGUUAGUUAAGAAUUCUGUAUUUUUAGCCCAUUUUUAUAAAUCGCCAUAUACUUGAUAUAACUUGAAUUGGGAUAGUAUACCUCAAAUCAGCUCCAUCUCCCUCAUGAAUAUUUGUGUAAAGGGAAGUCAGAGUGCGCAGAACACCCCUCAAGCGCACAUACGGCAGAUUCCUCCGGUACCAAUGUGUUGUUCCAUUCAAAUCAAUUUAUUUUGUAGCACCCGAAAUUACAAAUUAGCGCCAGUGAGCUUUACAGUCUGUAAACAUGCAACAUCCUCUGUCCCAAAACCCUCAUAUUGACAUGGAAAAAAAGCCUGGGAGAACAGCAGAGGUCUACAGAAUGAAAAACUUAAAGAUGUACAGUACAUUCAACAUAAAUUAUUCAAAUAUUGAGAUUCGUAAGCCAGGUGUAAGACGGGACCACUGCAGGAACAACCUCCAUCAUGUAAGUUAUUUCGGUUAUUUCGCUUCAUGCUCCUGAAAGGGGGCGUGGCUCAUCGCCGGUACUUGUCUCCAUAAAAGACAGCUAUCGUUUCCGCUAUCCACCGUGGCAAUAAACAUCCGCCAUUUCUGCUGUCUCUAUUUGUUUGUGUGAAUUACACAAACGUCGGAACCGCCGGAUUUUGUCGAGGGUGGCCAUACGACCGACAUGGGGGGCGGGGGCGCUGCGGGGAACGCCACGUACCGUCGUGGAGGUUGAAGAGGAACCAACGCGGCUCUGACCGAGGGCCGUGUUUCUCAGCGUGAGAUAUUGGGUGUGUGCGUGUGAAAACAUGCAAACGCGUGAGUCACACGGCGGAGAGGCUGGCAAGGGAACAUCUGUAGCCUCUUCAGGGGACAGCAACCGAACAACCGGUAUGGAAAUACAGCGUCACAACAACACAGCUGUGUGCUGUGAGAAUCAACUCUAUCCAGUGGCAGAGCUCUCAUAUUGUGGAGAGAAGGCUUUCAACCCAGAAGAAGCCACUUGUUGCCCAUAUGAAAAUGGAAGCACCAUAACAGAGGGCCUUAGUGAAAAGGUGUCAGCUUGCUGUGGACUGAAGGCAUACGACCAGCUCAAUCAAAUAUGCUGUCACGGAACCAUCCUAGUCAAACCUGGGCCAAACGCCCAAUGUUGUGAUAAAAAGGCUUUUGAUGUCGACGAGCAGAUGUGUUGUGGACCGCUGACCAAUAAGACAAUCCUAACAAAAGAAUCCUCAGACCACCGAUGCUGUGGACAAAACAGUUUUAACCCAACGACUCAAUGCUGCUGUUCGAUAAAUGAAAGUCUAAGCAUAUGGUCCAAGGAUUCCAGCUGCUGCGAGAAGGCUGACUGUGGACAGAACACCUACAACACAAGCGACAAACUAUGCUGUCAAUCAACGGUUGUUAGCAAAAAUGUAUCAAAUGCCCAAUGCUGUGGUAAACAGGCGUUUAAUAACGACACACAAUUGUGUUGUGGUCCUUCUGAUGACAAGAUAAUCCUGGAGAGAAUCUCUAUUGACCACCUCUGUUGUGGACGUAACCGGUUCGACACCAACAAGGAGUGCUGCUGUUUGACAAAGGAAGGUCUUCAGAUACAACAGAUCAAUUCCAGCUGCCGUCGGGAUCAGGGUCAAUCUUCUGAUGCCACUGCUGUGUUUAACCCACACAUAGGUGUCUGCUGUGGACGCUGUGUGUCUGAUUGGAACCCUUCGACAGAUCAACUUCAUGGCCCGCCUGGACAACAUAGCUGCAGGACGAAAGUUUAUCGGCCUCACGCGGGGAUCAUUUGCGAUGGACCAAGGACUCCUCACUUCUGUGGGUCAAAAGCCUACGACAUUAAAGACCCAGGAAUGAAGUGCUGCGCAGGAACAUUGCACAACCUCACUCAAGUACCAGAGGCGCAGUGCUGUGGCUCCAUCCUGCAAAACAAACCGAACGUAUGCUGUUUGAGUGAGCACAUGGAGGUGCUCUACUCCAACAAGACGAAAUUUGAAUGCUGUGGUCACCUCUACUACAACACCUCCCUAUGGUCAUGCUGUGCAGGGACGCUGAGCGCUGUGCCUCCACGAGGACAGCAUCCGAAAUCCAUACUUCGAUCUUUGGGCAAUUUGAAUGAGACGGAUCUUUGUGGCAAACUGCAAGUCGGGAUUGUGGAAAGGGACGGCCUGAAUGGGAUCGUAUUCAACAGUGUGUUGAUAAUCCAUGGAAGGAAUGGCAGUGUGAUACCCAGGAGCGGGCUUCACACCCUGAGUACAGGAACCGAUGGCUGCAGCAACGCAAAACUGGUCCCUGGGAAGAGCUACUUCUUUGAUGACGUUAAAGUAAAUGUCUUCACAGAUCUCAACCACGACUCUAUUCUCCAGUCCAUCUAUUUCAUUAUUUCUAAGUGUCAUACGAAUAUAUAAGAUUAUAGACUUUAUGUUCAGGGUCGGACGAUUUACUAACUAAUCUAACAUGCAGCUAAUUUAUAGAUGUUGAGUUUUGGAUUAACACCAUUUGUUAAAAAACAACUGUGGAGUUAUCAAAAGCAAUAUUCCUUGUCUCUUAGCAGAGGACAGCCAUUAUCAAUUAUCAGGCUGGAGCUUGUUCACUAAGUCCACAUAUUAGUCUGUUAACUUAUGCACAUCAAUAAAACUACUCUCAAAUUGUGAAGUAGCAGAGCAUCAAAAGAAUUAUUAUAUACAAUGUCCAUGAAGUUCAUGACAGGAUGAUCUAAAUCUUUUGCAUAACUGGUGGUUGCAAUUACCAAUGUUUAGUAAUCACCGCAAGAUGGUGACACUCAUCACGGUGAACUAUUUGUUUUCAAGAUUAAUGUUUGUGUGAUUAAUGUGUCUGUGAUUUUAAUAAGCUAAUAAGCUAAACAGCUAUUAGAACAUGUGUUUUCAUUUUUGGAACAUUAUGCUCUAUUUUGGAUUUUUAAAUUUGCACAAAACUACAUUAAUAGUGAGUCACUCAUGAAAAUGUAUGUUUGAAUAUAAAUGACAGGAUUUGUCACAUUAUGUGUCACAUGUGCUAAACAAAGCUGAAAGACCAAUCACUUAAAUAUUAAGCUGUGGUGCAUUGAAUUUCUAUGGUGCGUUGAAGUUAUAUUUCUUAACAAUAUGUAUGUUACCCAUAGUUCCAUGUUCCUGUAGCUAGGAACAUGGCAUUAGUAUGAAGGUACUUUUCCAACUUUGAGCGUUUUGCCAUCGCCUUAGUGUGGCCUAAAGGAUUCUGGACACUGCUUUUGCAGUGUGUACUGACCGGUAGAGCUCAGGAGGCUUAUUCAUCUUUAACUCUGACUCAAAAUAUAGUUGUUUUAAUGUUCAUUCAUGUACUGUAUUUUUCAUUUUACAAAAACUAUUUUCUAUAUCUUUGUACGUUUAGUUUCUUGUUUUAAGCAGUGUCAACACAUAAUGCAUGUUUUAGUAUGUUCUAUAUCUAUGCAUGACACAGCCACAUGUAGGUGCUUUAUGUUAGAUUCAUUUUUGUCAUUAAAAGCAAUUGUUAGAAAACCUGUUGUUUCUUACUUAAUUGAAACUUUAGUUUGGGUGCUGGAGGCUUAUAGUAAAUUCCUUCAAGUUGGUUUUCUUAGUCUAUCAUUAUAAGACAAAGCAGUACCACCACCAAUAUGUAAUUGACGAGCUGAGUUUUUACAAAUGUUACAGAAGAAAAUAACUGAAAAAAAUCAAUUGUAUUGCUAAAUAUAUUUAAUCAAAU
ensembl:lncRNA